UACGUAGGGUGCAAGCGUUGUCCGGAAUUAUUGGGCGUAAAGAGCUCGUAGGCGGUUUGUCGCGUCGAAUGUGAAAACCCGGGGCUCAACCCCGGGCCUGCAUUCGAUACGGGCAGACUAGAGUUCGGUAGGGGAGUCUGGAAUUCCUGGUGUAGCGGUGAAAUGCGCAGAUAUCAGGAGGAACACCGGUGGCGAAGGCGGGGCUCUGGGCCGAUACUGACGCUGAGGAGCGAAAGCGUGGGGAGCAAACAGG
rnacentral:rRNA from 1 species